GAUGAAGAACGUAGUGAAAUGCGAUAAGUAAUGUGAAUUGCAGAAUUCAGUGAAUCAUCGAAUCUUUGAACGCACAUUGCGCCCGCCAGUAUUCUGGCGGGCAUGCCUGUCCGAGCGUCAUUUCAACCCUCGAACCCCUCCGGGGGGUCGGCGUUGGGGAUCGGCCCUGCCUCUUGGCGGUGGCCGUCUCCGAAAUACAGUGGCGGUCUCGCCGCAGCCUCUCCUGCGCAGUAGUUUGCACACUCGCAUCGGGAGCGCGGCGCGUCCACAGCCGUUAAACACCCAACUUCUGAAAUGUUGACCUCGGAUCAGGUAGGAAUACCCGCUGAACUUAAGCAUAUCAAUAAGCGGAA
rnacentral:misc_RNA from 1 species